CCUACGGGGGGCAGCGGUGGGGAAUAUUGGACAAUGGGGGCAACCCUGAUCCAGCCAUGCCGCGUGUGUGAAGAAGGCCCUCGGGUUGUAAAGCACUUUCAGUGAGGAAGAACGCCUGGUGGUUAAUACCCAUCAGGAAAGACAUCACUCACAGAAGAAGCACCGGCUAACUCCGUGCCAGCAGCCGCGGUAAUACGGAGGGUGCGAGCGUUAAUCGGAAUUACUGGGCGUAAAGCGCGCGUAGGUGGCUUGAUAAGCCGGUUGUGAAAGCCCCGGGCUCAACCUGGGAACGGCAUCCGGAACUGUCAAGCUAGAGUGCAGGAGAGGAAGGUAGAAUUCCCGGUGUAGCGGUGAAAUGCGUAGAGAUCGGGAGGAAUACCAGUGGCGAAGGCGGCCUUCUGGACUGACACUGACACUGAGGUGCGAAAGCGUGGGUAGCAAACAGGAUUAGAUACCCCAGUAGUC
rnacentral:rRNA from 1 species